GAUGAAGAACGUAGUGAAAUGCGAUAAGUAAUGUGAAUUGCAGAAUUCAGUGAAUCAUCGAAUCUUUGAACGCACAUUGCGCCCGCCAGUAUUCUGGCGGGCAUGCCUGUUCGAGCGUCAUUUCAACCAUCAAGCCCCCGGCUUGUGUUGGGGACCUGCGGCUGCCGCAGGCCCUGAAAACCAGUGGCGGGCUCGCUAGUCACUCCGAGCGUAGUAAUACAUCUCGCUCAGGGCGUGCUGCGGGUUCCGGCCGUUAAAAAGCCUUAUUUACCCAAGGUUGACCUCGGAUCAGGUAGGAAGACCCGCUGAACUUAAGCAUAUCAAUAAGCGGGGA
rnacentral:misc_RNA from 1 species